CCUACGGGAGGCAGCAGUCGAGAAUCAUUCACCAUGGUGGAAACCCUGAUGGUGCGACGCCGCGUGGGGGAAUGAAGGUCUUCGGAUUGUAAACCCCCGUCAUGUGGGAGCAAAUUAAAAAGAUAGUACCACAAGAGGAAGAGACGACUAACUCUGUGCCAGCAGCCGCGGUAAUACAGAGGUCUCAAGCGUAGUUCGGAAUCACUGAGCGGAAAGCGUGCGUAGGCUGUUUCGUAAGUCGUGUGUGAAAGGCGCGGGCUCAACCCGCGGACGGCACAUGAUACUGCGAGACUAGAGUAAUGGAGUGGGAACCGGAAUGCUCGGUGUAGCAGUGAAAUGCGUAGAUAUCGAGAGGAACACUCGUGGCGAAGGCGGGUUCCUGGACAUUAACUGACGCUGAGGCACGAAGGCCAGGGGAGCGAAAGGGAUUAGAUACCCCUGUAGUC
rnacentral:rRNA from 1 species